rnacentral:rRNA from 1 species
GACGAACGCUGGCGGCGUGCCUAAUACAUGCAAGUAGAACGCUGAAGAGAGGAGCUUGCUCUUCUUGGAUGAGUUGCGAACGGGUGAGUAACGCGUAGGUAACCUGCCUUGUAGCGGGGGAUAACUAUUGGAAACGAUAGCUAAUACCGCAUAACAAUGGAUGACACAUGUCAUUUAUUCGAAAGGGGCAAUUGCUCCACUACAAGAUGGACCUGCGUUGUAUUAGCUAGUAGGUGAGGUAAUGGCUCACCUAGGCGACGAUACAUAGCCGACCUGAGAGGGUGAUCGGCCACACUGGGACUGAGGCACGGCCCAGACUCCUACGGGAGGCAGCAGUAGGGAAUCUUCGGCAAUGGGGGCAACCCUGACCGAGCAACGCCGCGUGAGUGAAGAAGGUUUUCGGAUCGUAAAGCUCUGUUGUAAGUCAAGAACGGGUGUGAGAGUGGAAAGUUCACACUGUGACGGUAGCUUACCAGAAAGAGACGGCUAACUACGUG